AGAACAAAAUCAUCGACAAAAAAAAAAACUAUGUCCAGAAGCUUGUGUGUUUCAAGUUAUUAUAGUUGUUUUUUUGUUUGUUUUGUUUUCA
rnacentral:ribozyme from 13 species